UUUAAACUUGCGAUGGGCAAAAUCAAACUUGCUUCGGUCUCCUACAUGGACAUCAAUAUCAAAAUUGUUAUAGGAGGCGCGCCAUCGGUGUUACUUCCCCCUUCCUCGUUGAUGGCGGCGGCCCCCUUCCCUCACUCGCGAUCUUCGUCGUAACAGAGCCGCGCUGCCACAGCUCCAACCGAAAUCGCCGACGCAGCAGCGGCGUUGGUUCGGACAUCGCCCUCUGAUUUCUCCCACCCCUCACCUAUCGUCGCUAGACCCUGAGAUUUUGGCAGCGGUCCAAACUUUUCUUCCUUUCCUCUAUCUCUAUCUCCGUCGACCUAGAAUUUUUUUCUACUUAGUUACUUCACCUCCUCCAUCUCCAUCGACGUAGGAAUUUUUUUCGCUGCCCUGGGUGGAAUUGCAGGUCGCCAGCUGCAUCAUUCGUCCAAUUUCUUGUCGCUGCCGCACCUCUUCUCGCCGCUCGUCAGGACCAAUGGGAACAGGGCGUACGUCAUCGAUACUUUGGCCUUCGUACGCCGCACUUGUUAUUUGAUGUUGGCUGGCUUACGAGAAACAUUGACGAUAAGGGUUUCGAGUUGCGCUAUAGGUGUUUGUGUUUAUGUAGGUGAGGAGGUUGGAGGCGCAACAGGUGCCCUCCAAGGGGAGGCUAUCACGUCAGUCAUCACGAUAGUUUGGAGAAUGUUGCCCAGUCCUAGCCUCGAAGCCGAAGAUGCAGAAGAGCUGCGAGGUGUUGACGAGGUACACCUUAGUUGCGUUGGUCUUGAGAGCUAUGAAGAGAGGUGCCACAGAAGUGAGAAAUUGGACUAAGUGUCACGAACGGUCGUCACGCACCUGAGCAUCAUUUUGCACUGUUACAACGAGAAUGAAAUGUUUCGGGUCGAUAUCGAGAAAAUGUGUAGCGAAUUGAGGGCACAGUUGGAGGCAACAAAAUAUGAUAUUAUAAACACCAUGUACCAAACGGUUGUAACGCAUAGCUGAAGUUUGUCAACUUUCUUAUAGAUGGUGACUCAAAUGAGGUUUAUGCUGAAGGGCCAGCUCGGCCAACUGGGGGUGAUGCUGCUAUUGCAAUGUUGAUUGGACCAAAUUCUCCAAUUUCUUUAGAGAGUCUAUACGGGGGAACUCACAUGGCUCAUGUUUGUGACUUUUGCAAGCCAAACCUUGCAAGCGAAUACCUGGUGUUGUUGAUGGGAAAGUAUCACAAACAUGCUAUCUCAUGGGACUUUGAUUUAUGCUACAAACGUUGCUGCAGCAAAUGAGUUCGAAUAUAUAUAUUGUCUAUAUUCGGAGGAGGGUCUUCUUUUAGUCGGGAGUUUGAAAAGGUAUGCAUGUAUCCUUUUGCAUUUCUUUUAGUCCUCGUGGCCAUCGUCGUUAUUUCCUCUCAUGUAUGCUCAUUCUUACUCUCGUUAAACUGUUCGGGCUUCUCACCAUCUUGGUAUGAUGCAAAAGUCCAACCAUCAUCUACUUCGUUGUUAAUAUGUACACAGCGUGUCUUUAUGCCACAUUCGCGUCUGUGAUUCAUAACAAACAUAGCACUCCGGGUGAUUUUGCUGUUUCCUUUCCUUCA